rnacentral:rRNA from 1 species
AACGAACGCUGGCGGCAUGCCUAACACAUGCAAGUCGAACGAAGCCUUCGGGCUUAGUGGCGCACGGGUGCGUAACGCGUGGGUAUCUGCCCCUUGCUUCGGAAUAACAGUUAGAAAUGACUGCUAAUACCGGAUGAUGUCUUCGGACCAAAGAUUUAUCGGCAAGGGAUGAGCCCGCGUAGGAUUAGGUAGUUGGUGGGGUAAAGGCCUACCAAGCCGACGAUCCUUAGCUGGUCUGAGAGGAUGAUCAGCCACACUGGGACUGAGACACGGCCCAGACUCCUACGGGAGGCAGCAGUGGGGAAUAUUGGACAAUGGGGGGAACCCUGAUCCAGCAAUGCCGCGUGAGUGAUGAAGGCCUUAGGGUUGUAAAGCUCUUUUACCAGGGAUGAUAAUGACAGUACCUGGAGAAUAAGCUCCGGCUAACUCCGUGCCAGCAGCCGCCGUAAAAC